CAAACUGGUUAGAGUUUCUGAUGCUUAAGCAUUUGAGUCAUAAGGACUGGAUGUUGGUGUAGGAUCUUGUGUCUUUCUGCCCUGCACCUUAUUGUCCUGUGUCUUUCUCUGCAUGUUCCUGCCAGCUGGACAUGAUUAAAUCUCAGCCGUUGAUACGCAGAGCAAUAUGGAAAAUGAAUCAAGGAGAAGAACAGGAAGAUAUGCCAGAAGAAUAAAGAGAACUUCAAGAAGUGGGCAAAGGCGGUGAUGUUCUUUGGCUAAAAGACCAGGGGAAGAUGAUGCAAGCUAUCAGCAAGUUCAUGCUUGGGAAAUUAGCUCUUCCUUAAAUCAAAUUCCUGGAAAUUAUUUAAUUUUUUGAAACAAAUUGCAAGAUAUUCAAUCUUUCUGCCAGCAAUUAAAAAAAAGUAUAUUGAAUUUUAGUGCUAGGAAGAACCUAAAAAGCCAGCCAGUUCAAUCUCUCUCACUGGAAAGAUAAGAAUGAAACCAAAGAAGUGGUUUGCUCAAGGUCAAACAACCUGCCCUCUACAACCUUGACCUGGGUUCCUGAAAGGUUAUAACUCAAUGGAACUCUCUUGAAGUUAGUGCAAUAUCAUAAUUAAUUUAUUUAUUCUCACAAAACAUAAAUUUUCUUCCUGUGAUUAGGACAACAAAAUUUUGAAAAUGAAGAGGCAUGGAAGAAAACAGAGGAGAGAGAGAAAGAAGGGGAAGUUGAGUCGAAUUCAAACUUCUCACUUGGGUCAAUUUAAAGUUGCUUAAGAGAAUUUUUCAAAAUAAUAGUAACUAAGAUCCAUCCCCAUUAAAAAUUUAGAGACAUUCCACGAUUUGUUCAUCUCAUAACAAACUUCAUUUUAGCAAAGAAGGUGGUCUUGGAUAUUUCCUGCAACCUGAGAUGAAGAAUUUUGCUUGGGAUAACUGGAAUGUUUAUAGGAACUUUGACUAACAAUGAGGUGUUGGAAUGUAGUCUAAACAUGCAAACUAAAUAUCUUAUGCUGGCUUAGAAGUUCAGGGAUUUGGAGUCAGGAAGUUAGUGUUCUGGUUCCUGCCCUGACACUUACUCUAAAACCUUAGGCAAGUACCCCACACCUACAUCUCUCUAGAGGUCAGGAAUCCUACCCGGGAAAUGAUGGAGUCAGCCUUGGAGAAACUUAAAAACACCCUGCUGCUUUACACCAUCACGCAUGUGUCUAAAGCAUUCUCUCUGCUUGGAAUAUCACUCUUCAUCAUCCCUUCUUUAUGUGAUCUUUCUGACUCUUCAGGCAUUGCCUCCCUCAGGAGGAUUUCCGUGUCACAUCCUCGCUCCCUGUUCCAGCCUGAAUCAAGAGCUCCCCAUUAGGUCCCAGCCCACCUUGUGCUUGUCAUUACCUUUAUCACAACACUAUAAAAUCGUCCAGAGAGUCAAAAAGCCAUUAAGACAAUAAGUCACCCAAUUAACUACCACUCAAUUAAAAAGUGUUUUAAAUUCA